UACAUAGCUUGAAGUGGUAUGCUGAUGUUCCUCAUUUAUUUGAAACUGUCUAUGUCGUGCCACAUUCCUACAAAAGCAUCACAUACAUAUUGAAAUUCUCAUCUCUGUAGAAACCUGAACGACUACUAUGGUCAAAAUUAAAUUGCAUGCUCAAGGAUAGAAGGAAUGAUAAUGAGAUUCAUAUAUGUUCAUGUAGAGAAGGUUGCUUGCCUCGUAUGAGGUGGAACUCAAAACAGACAACUACAUCAAUACAGAUAGACCUAUGACUGGUGGGCAGUUGAAGACAGCUAUUUAGAUGCGGCAGAGGCAGAAAAUGACUUCAUUUUUCACAAAUUAGAUGUUGUCAUUGAUUAGGAUUUUGCAUGAUGCGAUGAAGAUGCCACGGAAGAGCAGGUCUUGGUUCUUUAGAUUUCGAAAAAAGAAGUUCUAAGAACAUUUUCUUUGUGUAGGUCUUGGUUUCUAUUUCAGAAACUACUCCCAUCAUUUUAUACAUUAGAGAUGUUGAGAGGCUUGUUCUACAAUCACCAAGGUUAUACAACUUGAUACAUAAUGCUUCACUGCUUUUGAAAAUUGGUGGAAGCCAUCAAAAGGAUUGCUGAAUAUGUUGCUCAACUGAAAAAGAGUUGGAAAAGGACAUGGGGUGGCACUUAUUAGAAGCUUCUCCAUGAGAAAGGAGCUGUAUGAACAUGAUUGAGUUUGUAAUUUGUAGUUUAUAUUUUGAAGAUUUAUAAUUUCUUGUUUUUUUU